AACAUUUUGGCCGUAACAAGCCUUAAACCUUAUUUACACGUACCCUCCACAUUCUCCUUCGGCAGGCAUCGGGAGGCAACUCCCGGGGGCUUGCCGUCGGAACGCUCCAACCUUCUUUUUUUGCAUCUAGCAUACCACCCGUUCUGACAAAAGAAAUCAAUCGUUA
rnacentral:misc_RNA from 1 species